GCCCGGUUAGCUCAAUCGGUAGAGCGUGAGACUCUUAAUCUCAAGGUUGCGGGUGAGUGACGAGAAAAGAUUAUACUGAUGGUAUUAUACAUCGUUGAAGCUAACGUAGAAUAUUCAGGUUCGACCCCCGCAUCGGGCU